GGCGAUUACCUCUUAAAAUCUUAAGUUUGAGUGGAUUCGCUCAGAUCUAGGGUUUCUCCCAAAUCGACAGAGUUCCAACUCAGUUUAACAUAGAGAUGAUGUUGAACUUGUUCCUGUUAACGAUAAAGCUGACUCAUGGAAUUUUGGGGACGGAAGAAAGCGACGAUGGUGAUGAUCUGGUUAAAAUGAGGAGAAAGACAGUGACAGAAAACCCUAGCCUCCGCCUCCCGCAAUGGCUGCUAGGGUUCCGGCGAAGUCUCCGAUGAAACUCCGGGUUUCUUGAAUCAUAAAGAUUUCUCCCAGAUCCGUUCCGAUUUUGCUCUUAAUGGCGGUUCUAGGGUUCGAUGUCAAGAACCGCAAGGUGAAAAACAAAGAUCAAGGACGAUUUCUCCCGGAUCCAUUCUGAUUUUGUUCAUCAGAUAAAUUAAAUCCUUAGUUUUUAAUAUUUUUUAUUUAUUUUUUGUGUAUACACUGGGAACACCGAGUUAUUUUUUGACGUUUUUUUUGUUGUUUUGUUGUAGAUGAAGAUGGAGUGGUGUAGAUAAAUGAUCCAGGGAGGUUACGGUACCGAUGAAGAUGACAAAACUUUGGCGAUCUGGGUAUCUUUAUUUACAUUUUUGUUUAUUUUUUUUUAGUUUUGUGUCCUUCUAUUGUUCUAGGGUUUCGUAAGUUUUUUUGAAUAGUUUUGCUACUGUUUUUGGAUGUGUUUAUGUCAGAUCUGUGUAAUACUUUCAGAUCUGUGUUAGUAUUGUGUGUUUAUAAUGUUUUGUGAAGUGAUAAUGUGAAUGUAAGAAUUAUCUUCCUUCAGAUCUAUGUUGCUAUUGUGUUUUUAUAAUGUUUUGUGAAGUGAUAAUGUUAAACGAACCUGAAAGCAAACUGCAAAAAUUAAGUAUUAUAUCUCUUUAUAUGCUUUUUUAAUUCAAAACCAACAUUUUUUUGCAAGUAAAUUUCUUUCGAUAGUUUUAGUUCUUGAAGCAUGUUUGUCUUUUGGUAAAUUCUGGUUGCCUUGGUUUUGUUUAAUCGUUUGAAUGUAGUCUGUUGGGCCAGAUCUAGGGGUUGUGUGUGCGGAU